rnacentral:rRNA from 1 species
UACAGAGGGUGCGAGCGUUAAUCGGAAUUACUGGGCGUAAAGCGUGCGUAGACGGUUAUUUAAGUCGGGUGUGAAAGCCCCGGGCUCAACCUGGGAAUUGCAUUCGAGACUGAAUAGCUAGGGUACGGUAGAGGGAAGUGGAAUUUCCGGUGUAGCGGUGAAAUGCGUAGAUAUCGGAAGGAACAUCAGUGGCGAAAGCGACUUCCUGGACCAACACUGACACUGAGGAGCGAAAGCCAGGGGAGCAAACGGG